CUGGCUUUGUGCCACACCAGCCAUUGCCCUAGCAUGACUCUCCUCCUUCCAUUGGAUUCUGCUCUCCAGUCAGCAUCAUCUUGCUAAAGAAGCAUAAACCACAAGCUCUGGGGAAGCUGGUUUGUCUGUCUCACAAGCAGGCCUCAAAGUCUCCUGGCUACCUUCCUAAAUUUCCCUGGAUGUGUGAUCAUGGGAGGACAUGUUGAGAUGCUCUUCUAUCAGCCUGGGCCCUGAUUAGGCCCUCAGAGUAAGCUGCAGGAAUAGGCUUCUGCGGUCUUGGAUCUCCUAUUGCUCCCCCGCUCCCACGAGCUGCCGAGGGCCUUUCCUGGCUUGGAGCCACACCCAAGUCCUCAUCAGCGUGGUCAUCUUCUUUCCAAAAUUGAGCCUACCUACCACAGGGGGACCAGCAUUUACCAGGUCAGCUCCAGGCAGAGGUGAAGGAUGACUAGAGCUGUUAAUGAACACCACCACCAAAAUACUUGUGAUCUAUCGAAUGACUCGAUUCCCACAUGGUGGAUGUCAAGUUUAGUACAUGUG